CCCACAUAGAUUAUGACAACACAGGAAGCCUCUCAUGUUGCCGUGGCGGCAUGCCGAUUCUACCCUCCUUCACCCACAGAGGUGGCACACUGUGUGCCGUCAAUUCCAGCCCCAUAUGAUGAGCUGGGAAAAGAGCAGACAGCCUUGUCACUCUGUCUCACUUCUGGAGAGUACCACUGCCCAGAACAAAGUUAAGGAAAAUGAAAUUGAACAUGUUGGCUUGACAGCAUAAAAGGGUUGAAAAUGAAUUCACUAGUGGAAGGAGUAAAGACUUCAGGCUUACUGGCUCACAAGAAUAUUGAUGCACAGAAUGCUGUUAAAAUGUUCCAUGUUUGUGCGUUUUUAAAAAAUGGCUUCCAGCUAAUUUAAGGGGUACAACAGCAGGAACUUCAUCCUAGCUUCCUCAACCAUCAUGACAGCUGAAUAUUAUUCUGUCCUUGCAAAUUCUGUUGACAUCGAAAAAACCUCAGAGGCUGUUCAUGUCUUUCAAUAGAUUAUACCACCAACUGCAACUGAUGUAGAAUGCUCUAUGCAUUUAGGAAUUGUGCCUGUGAGGAAGGCAGAAAAUUCUAGCACCAUUUAGAUUAUUUUAAAUUUGACAUUUAAAGGAAGAAAUGCAUUCAAAACCAACAGUGAAAUGCAUUUAAAAUAGCUAUGAACAUGAAGUCUGCAUAUUGUUACAAAACAUCUGAAAAAUAGAAGUGAACACAUAAAUGAGAAAUGGCAAAUAGGGACCCAUAGACAGAACACAUUGCUUUGCAUGCCAUUCAUGAUCUCCAUAGCUCUUAAUGGGAAUGAAAAAGUUUUGUGAUAAAACUAUUCCUAAUUUUCAAAUGAUAAUUUGAGAAUGCUGUCACAAAUUUUGGUGGUAGAACAAUUGGGAAGAUGGCAAUUUCACUCAUUCAUUUUGACUUUUCUUCCAAAAUUUAUAAAGUUUCACACUGUUUUAAAAAGA